rnacentral:rRNA from 1 species
AGCUCCAAUAGCGUAUAUUAAAGUUGUUGCAGUUAAAAAGCUCGUAGUUGAAUUUCGGGAUUGACACAUCGGUCGUGCCUUAAGGGGUAUGAACUGGUGUAGUCAAUUUCUCACCUUCUGGAGAACCGCGAUGCCCUUAAUUGGGUGUCACGGGGAACCAGGACCUUUACUUUGAAAAAAUUAGAGUGUUUAAAGCAGGCAUUUUGCUUGAAUACAUUAGCAUGGAAUAAUAAAAUAGGACGGCAUGAUUCUAUUUUGUUGGUUUCUAGGAUCACCGUAAUGAUUAAUAGGGAUAGUUGGGGGCAUUAGUAUUCAAUUGUCAGAGGUGAAAUUCUUGGAUUUAUUGAAGACUAACUACUGCGAAAGCAUUUGCCAAGGAUGUUUUCA